GUUUCCCCGGUAACAAGAGAGACCUAGAUCUAGAUCCUUGCAUCAACACCGUGUGCUUUGGGUAAACCAUAUUCUGCCUCAUUGGCUGUGCGGACAAGCUUGACCACAUUGCUUUAUGGCUCCUUAGAUGUUCCGAGCCUAUGUGAGCCCCCAGCUCACUGGGAGCCCUGCUAGGAAUCCUGGGCUCUCCUCCGCUUCAGUUAGCCCUCUGGAGGUGCAGGACAAGCCAGCGCCAUUUGCAGCUCUCUGACACACACAGGAUUUGUGCAGAUGCCAAGGAUGCAGGCGUGGCCCUCAGGCUGAGCUUCUGCUUUGCUUUCCCAACCAGCACCACUCGCCAUCCUCGGGGGCAAGCCUAAUGCUUAUCAUCGAGUUCCCCCAGCAUUCACACCCUGCAGCGAGCUUUGGAUCUUACCACAUGGAUUUGAGGAGCGCUAAAGACGCCUCAUGUUUGCAGGGAUCACACAGAACUGGGUGUUGUUUUGGCCAAUAAAUAGUCACUUAUGAUUGGAGGAAAGGAAUUUGAACAGGCAGGCUCAGAUUGGCAAUUUGAAACGGAGGUAUGGUUAAAGAUAUUUCGACAUAUCAUCUCAGGGGCAUUUGAACUUAUGUGUGUUUAAUUUAAUAACUGUUACCAAAAAAAAAAAAAAAAGCAGGAAGAAGCAGCCGCGUUAUUCACUUGGUUCAAAGACCAUUUAUGUUUCCCCAACAUUAGCUUCCUGCACUUAAACUGACAAACCUUAGAUAAACGCAAUAAUUCCUUCACAUUUCACCAUGAUCAGCUCUUUACUUCUAACAGCAACAAUUGUGUUUCUCAUUAACUUGUCCACUGCUGAUCCUUGGAGUGUUUGAAUCUUUAAAAAAAAGUUGUAAGAGACUGUCAUAGCUACUGUAAGAGAAUAAUGAAGUAAAGAAAUGAGCUAUUGUGGUUUUCUCCUGGAGAUAAGGUGGCUGCUUGGGAUUUGAGCUGAAAUUCACCGCAUCUCUCUCCUUUGCUCAUGGUGUGUAAUUUCGCAUAAGCUAUUUGUAGUUGAUGCUUCCUGCUUGGGUAUGAGAAGGGUGGGGUAGAGCAAGCUAGUAGGAAGGUCGAGAGAAGGCUAUGGCUAGGGAAAGUCUGGGGUGUGAACAAAUGAAACCAGGGUUUAAGAACUAGGGCUAUGGAAUGUUUCACAUCACGUUGGCAUCCUAUACCGACCAGAGGUUAGGGUAAGGCGCCCAUGGAGAAUUUAGUUUCACACCAGAAGAGAACAUUUCACUCCUUGAAUGUUUUAGGCAGCGCCUGGUUAUGUUCCUCUUCUUUCCUAGACCCCCAGGUGUGUCUGCAUAAUGUG
rnacentral:sRNA from 1 species